rnacentral:lncRNA from 1 species
ACAAUUACUAGAUCCUGCAGUGAAGGGGACACUUAAUGUUCUUAAAUCAGCUGCAAAAAUUCCAUCUCUCAAAAGAGUGAUCUUGACAUCUUCCAUAGCUGCAGUUAUAUGUGGCGUAAAACCUCCUGAGUUUGGUGCUGUGGUGGAUGAAACCUGGUUUUCAGAUCCGGAAACUUGUGAACAAAAAGAGGUAUAAUUGCUUCUAAAACUUAGUGUGGUCGCAUAUCUUUAUUAAUCAAAUAUUAUUUUAUAUUUUACAGUUAUGGUAUCCCCUUUCCAAGACCCUAGCUGAGGAUGCUGCAGUAAAAUUUUCUAACAAUAACGGUCUUGAGUUGGUGGUUAUAAAUCCCGGGUUUGUCAUUGGCCCUGUCUUACAACCAACUAUCAACAUCACUUCUAAGGGAUUUAUUGGUUUAAUUGAAACUGGUAAUCGUCUCCUACAACUAAUAUCCACAUGCAUGAUUCAUCGAUUCAUUUAAACUUAUUGCAUACUCAAAUCUUGAUUAUAUUUGUUAAGGUGUGAAUGAUGUGUUAUGUAUAUGCAGGAAAGGAAGUAUUUCCAGAUGGAAUCUAUAGACUUGUCGAUGUAAGAGAUGUUGCUAUUGCUCAUAUUUUAGCAUUUGAGAACCCCAAAGCAAAUGGAAGAUACAUUAUGGUUGCAGAUGUAAAUCACUCUUCAGAGAUCAUGAAGAUCAUAAACCAAAACUAUCCUGCCUUUGACUAUUCAGAAAGGUAGGUAUUUAGUUAUUUAUAACCUAUUUUUAGGUUCAUUUUAACUUUAUAUGGACCCAAAAAAAAUGCUAAAUCUGGACUACUUGUCUUUUUUUAUUUGAACUUUGAUAGGUAUAAAGACAACAAGUACGAAGGGACACCACCUUUCUUUGUAUCAAGAACAAGGGCGGAAAGUUUAGGAGUUAAGUUUACUACGGUUGAGGUAAGCAUCAAGGACACUGUUGAAAGCCUAAAAGAGAGGAAGCUCCUAAGCUUCUAAAACACCAGAUGAUGUUCAUGGAUUAUUUUAUGUACGUGUAAACUGUAUUAUUGAGAUUGUUGCAACAAUCACAUGAAAAAUUUAUUGAAUCACUUAUACUGUUUUUAUCUCUAUUAUAAAUGAAAUACAAGGAUCCUGUUGCACAAUUUAUCAAAAAAACCAAACCACAUGGUUUGUUACACUUGGAAGCCGCCUAAUUAUGCAAAAUUCACAACACCAUUGCCAAAUUUGCAGUUUAGGCGUGUAUGUAUGAUGUUUUAAAAUCUACAUCUUUAUAUACAUAAAGCUUUCUUGACUGUAUAACACUUUAACCUAGAGGUGCCAAUCGUGUCAUGUCGUGCUCGUUUCGAUUUGAAACUUAAACGGGUUGAGGGUUGAGGUAGAUUGACCCUAGCCCGACCCGUUUAAUUAUCAAUAUCGUAUCGUGUCAAUCAAUUUAUUCUCUUGUCAAGUUCAUAUCGGAUUGACGGGUUUAGGAUUUAGACCUUAUAAAUUUAUUAUGACGCUAAAAACUUGAUGUGUAAAACCAAAUCUCAAUUUUAUAGAAGGAAAUACGUUAGAAACUAUUACACAACUAGACAAGUGUACCUAAUUGUAUGCAAUAUAGCUUUGGUAAGACAAUGUCGAAUUCAAGGGGAACAAGUGUGAUUUAGUUCAGAAAAUCUGUUUAUUAUUUAAACUAAAAAGACAGCAAUUAAAGUUGGGGAAGUUGUUGUUUUUAAUUCUAAAACAAUGAACACUUGAACAAACAAUCUAAAAUAAAGCAAAACUGGAAAUUGGAUUUAGAAACAAAUAAUAAAUGUGUUUUCACUUAGAUUUGAUUCCAUCCUUCAAUUAUUGCUCUCAUAAAUGAAAUGGGUUUUAAUUCGUCAUCUACCGAUUCCUAUCUUGAUUAGUUUUCUUGAUUCGAUUACUAAUCCUAUGACUCUAAGGACUUUAAUCAAAAUGGUCAUGUAGAUUAAUUUUUGCCUAUUAUCGGUCUUUAGUUCGUAUCAUGCAAGAUUUGAUCAUAUUGAUCUCAACGGUUAUAAAAUCAAUUAAUUACGCUGAAUGGCCAUCAAAUGUAGUUCAUACACAUUAAAGUUAAUAACUUCAUAACCUAACCCUUUUUUAAGGGUUGGUUGGUGAUUAGAAAUUCGUAUCGCCAAAUUAGUAGAAUUUGUCAACGCCUGGAUUAGAACUCGAUCGACCUCCAAUCUAAGAUGGAAAGCAUGUACCAAGUGGGUUAGUCUCACAUUGGUUAUAACCUAACCCUAUAAUUUGGUCAAUUAAUAGUUAUAAUCGUCUUAAUGAUCAUAAAACAGUUAUAAUUGAAUCCAACACAGUCAGAAUGAUCAUCUAAAUUAUAUUAACUCAAUAAUAAAUUAUAAAAAUAAAUUCUUUAACACAUAUGGAUCUUUGAUCAUACUAACAUGAUAAAUUAAACAACUAUUAAUAUCCAAUCAAUAGAAAUCAACUCAUGAAAUUAGGGUUCGACUACUCUAAAUGAAAACAAAUAUCUUUUAGCCCAUGUUCAGAAAGUAAAAACACAUAGUAAACAUAAUUUGAAUGCUAAACAUACAAACUGAAUGAUUCACUCCCGAUCCUUUAAAUUCUUGAUCCAAAUUGCAUCUCGAACCUUGAAUCUCCUUAAAACUGCUUUUGGUCGCUCAAGAAUGUUGCAUACUCUUUAGGUAAAAGAUAUGGCUCUAUUUAUACUUCUUAUGACCGACUUUAAAAUGUGCCGUGUAGAGUUUAUGGACGUAUCGUGUUUUGCAACUCUUUCUGUAUGACUUGAACUCUUCUACUCCAACGCAUCACAUUCACGCGUCAUGUACUGCUAUUUAUUCACUUGAUUUUUGCUUCAUCAAUUCCAGACCAGUCCCGACUCCUUUUCAUUCCAGAUAUGUCUUUUUAGCUACAAAACAUAUUUCCAAACUCAAUCAGUAUCAUUUAUCUUAAAUUUAUACCAAAACAUAUCUCAAAAUACUUACAUAUCAUGUGAAAUGUAUAUAUAAAUAUACUGAUAUCAACAUCAAGUUAUUAAAGCUCCAAAUCAUGCAUUGCAACAAUGUUAAGUAAAGUACAUAUGGAGCUAUGCUUGACAACAGGUGAAAACACUUCAGUAAAACUAUCACGCGUAUUUGUCUAUACAAUUUUGCAGUGAGUUGGGCUUUGAAUCUAACAUCCUUAUUUUUCUUGUUCACAUAUUUGCACCUAAUUGGCUUUUUUCAUUGGGUAAUUUAACAAGCUUAUAGUUCUUAUUAUUUUCCAAAGAUUUCAUUUCUUCUUUCAUUGUUGUCAUCCAUUUGUCAGAAUCAGAAGUAGAAAUUGCAUCGGUAUAAGAUGAAGGUUCUUGAUAAUUUUCCAUUUCAUCGGCAACUAAAAAUACAUAAACAAUUGAAUUAGCAACAUUAUUGAACAUUCAAGGAGGUCUAAUAACCUUCCGAUUGCUAUCAUUUGUAAUAGAACUGGAUUGGGUGAUGAACCCGAAGGAGUCGAUAAAUCAAUAUUAUGCGCAUGGAGCAAAUUGUUUUGAUUUAGCUAUUUUCUGAAGAGAUAGUGUGCUCCAUAUGAAUUUGAGCACUCUAAUAGGAAUAAAUAGGCCUAGGAGAAGUCGAAUAUGAAUCUAAAACUUUUGGCAAAAAACCAUAUUGAGAAUCGACAUGUUGUUGGGUGAGUAAUAUAACUCAAUUUUGUUGAAAACGUCAUUUCAACACAUAAUUUGAAACCAAUAAAAAUACAUUAAUGGCUCCGGGAUUCAGCUUACUAUUGUCAAUGUGAGCAUAUGCAACACACCCUAAAAUUUGCAACUCCGAGUAGUCUGCGGAAGAACCUUAAUGUAAGAUAUAUGUGGAGCUCAAGAUUUUCUAUCCAAAAGGGCCCUUAUGGAGAAAGGGGAGACUCCAACAUAUGUAGACAUUUAUAGUACCAUGUAGCGUCGAUUUGGGAUACAUUGACACCCCCUCUCCUUCGAGACAGAGGCUCAAUAAGGAUAGAUCAAGAUGUGUUAAGUCAUAAGGUGCAGUCGUCGGCUCUGAUACCAUGUAAGAUAUAUAUGGAGUCUAAUAUUGUCUUUACAAAAGAGUUUUUAUGGAGAGAAGUGGGACUACAACAUAUAUAAACAUUUAUAGGAUCGAUGACACUGAUGUGAGAUACACUAGCAUCCCUCAUCUUCCUCUCUUUCUCCUUCAUUACCACAUUGUUGGCACCUCAUCUUUGCCCCUCAUGUCACACCCCUAAACUAGAACGGUGGAAACGUCUGAGGGUGGAUGACUUCAUGUACAGUAUCAUAACAUAAUGAAUAAUAGUGAUCAAAGUCAUACAACCAUCAUAUUGAUAAUUAAGAAAUUUACAUUGUAACAUCCAUAAUAUUCAUAAAAAUUUAAAACUUUUUCAAGCAUUCAAAAACCAUUAUUUAUUACAAAAUGUUUUCAAAAUAAUUUCAUAUCAGAGUAUCCCAGAAAUCAAAUCAUAAAAAUGCGAGGAGGUGCACGAUCACGCAUUUGCCUUCCUGCGAUCAUCUGAAGUACCUGAAACAAAAUCCAAAACUGUAAGCCCGAAGCUUAGUGAGUUCCCCCAAAAUACCAACGUCAUACAAACCAUAACCAUAUCAUAAUAAACAACAUGCAUAUAGAGUCUAUAGUAUGACUGGACCACCCUCACCAGACCUUCAGUAUAUUUGGCUCACUCUCAGAACCUUCAGCAUGUCUGGUCCACCCUACCGGGCCUUCAGCUUGUCUGGACCGUUCUCCGGGCCUUCGGCCUUACUGACAUGCCCCAUUGGGCCUGUAGUCUAUCUGGGCCGCCCUGGGUAUGUUGGCCUACAACACAAAGCAGGUCCGCCUCAACCCAACCCCAAACAUACAAUCAACACAUAGAUAACAAAUGCUAUCAUAUAUAAACAGUCAGACCGAUCUAACAGUUCACUAAUCAUAGCAUCAUCCUGUAAACCAAGAUACCGAGCUAACAGGUCACUAAACAUAGCAUCAUCAUAUAUACCAGGAUACCGACCUAACAAGUCACUAAGCAUAUCAUCAUGCGAUAACCAGGAUAACAAUCUAAAAGAAGGGUCGGCAUUGGUGCCUUCAACCCUGUCAGUAUAGUGAGGAAAACUCACCUCACAAAUAGUGCUAAAUUGAUAAUUAAAUCCCAAUUCACAGCUCCAACUCAACUGCAUGUAACCACCAUAUGACUAAUUCCAUUAAAAACCCAAAUUACCAAAAUAUCCUUAGAAGUCAAACUUGGUCAACCAUGGUCAAAGUCAAAGUCAACGGUCAAGGUCAAUGGUCAACUUUCCUCAUUAUUCCAUCCUCACGUCGUGACUGUGACAUCCCCAAAAUCACGGCCAGAAAAGACCGGUUUGUUUAUGUUUUGUUUAAAAAUCAGAGUAACAUUUUAAAUAAAAGUGUUGCGGAAUUUGUCCCAAAACAAAAUAUGAUAAAGAUUUAUCAAAAGCAUUUCCAUAGAAAUGUAUUUCAUUAAAAGACUUGGGAUGUCAUGUUCGUACAGAUCAAAAGCAUAAACAGUACAAUAUAAGCCUUACUACAUUAUUUCAUAUCUACAGGCCUAUAUCCGUAAUCCCUCGUCCAACAUCAUAUCUAUGCUCAAGCGCCACUACCUGUAAUACAUAAAACUGAGUGGGUCAGGCUUGGGAGCCUGGUGAGCACAUAGGGUUUUCAACCCACAAUAAAUAAGUUUAUUAAUUUCACUAAAUUANCCUAAACACCUAUCAUAAGGGACCUAGCCUAAGGAUCAUCAUCGGGACGGACACUACUGCUAAGGGGAUUCCUCAGCAAUAAAUGUCCUAAAGGCAACCAUGUGGGGGAUGGAGUACACCAGUGAACACAUCGUUCACAAACACCUACAGGUUGCGAGCCUGCUAGUGUUCAACUGGACUGUCUAGAAGAGUCCGUGGUCGUCAUCCAUACUCCGCUAGAUGACAGAAUCAACAACAUCAACAUCGAGGCCUCUCAUCAUUUUAUCACACAUCACCUAUUACAUCUACCCAUGUUUUACCCCAACAUUUUCGUAGAUAUAAAAUACAUAUACAGUUUAAAUCAUUGAAAACAUGUAUAACAAUGUUCAUCCAGCAUAGAUAGCAAGUAUUCAGAUAAUAUGCACACAUAGCACGUAAUUUAUAUAAAAUACUUCAUAUCUAUGUGUAAGCUGAAAGUAACUAUGCACUCACCUGAUUAGGUGGUGACUCAGCACUCGGACAGCGCUUCGAUACUCUCAAAACGAUAUUCCUUCGAUAAAACCUAGUACCAAUACCACUAGGGUUUAGUCUAACGAUAACCGCGAUUAAUUAAUAGUCUAGCUAUUAUUAUUAUUAUAUAAGCGUUAAACGAUACUUAUAUAACCCAUAAUAAUAGCCCAAGUACUUAUUAUAAGGUCCUAAUAACAUUACUAUAUUAAAACGUAAGCUAAACUAAAGAUAGGUUAGGCGUAGCUCACUUACAGCGGGUUUUCUCGAAAACCGGGCUUCGCUGGAGCAGCGUUCCCGAGCCGAAAGGCUCUUUUCUCGGGACUCCGGGAGCCUCGGGGCUUCCUUCGGGUGCUAGGGGGUUUACCUAGGCUUUAGGGGGCUUAAGGAGGCUUAGAGAGAGAGUGUAGAGAGAGAAAGAAUGUUGGAGAGGUGUGAAGAGAAGUGAAUGCCCGACACCUCUAUUUAUAGGGGUGCUGACUGGUCUACUCGCCGAGUAGGGGGGACCUACUCGCCGAGUUGGUCCAUGUGGUGGCCUUCUGGUGGUGCCACGUGUCCAAUUCUGGUGGUGCCACGUCACCCCCUAUCGCGUAUCAGCCUUCGAACUUAGAAAAAUCAUAACUCUCGCAUACGAGCUCCGUUUUCGACGUUCUUUAUAUCCACGCGUAGGUAAAAUCAAGAUCUACAACUUUCAUUUAGACUCCGUCGGCUAAUUCUCGACCGAUCUCAAAUUUAACAGUAGGAGGCGUUUAGACUGUUAAAUGACCGCGAAGAAUUCGUAACUCCUUCAUACGAACUCCGUUUUCAUCCAUCUUUUUACCGUUGAGUUCCUAUUAAUGAGAUCUUCAACUCUCAUUUAGGUCGCGUAAGCCAAAAACCGCUCGAACAAAAAUUCGAGUUUCGGGUCGUGCACUGCUAAGCCGAAUCUUAGAAAAAUCAUAACUUCCUCAUACGAAGUCAGAUUUGGGCGUUCUUUUUAUCGACGUUCUUAGUUUAACAUAUUCUACAACUUUCGUUUAGAUUUCUAAGGCUAAAUCUCACUCUAUCGUAAAUUCACUAUUUACGCUUCCCGGUGCUAUGCCGGUUUUGCCGUAAAACUUCGACGGGCCAUAACUUCUUCGUUGUAACUCGGAUUUCGGCGUUCUUUAUAUGUACGGAAACCUUGAUACAUAUUAUACAACUUUAUGUAGAGAUAUCGGGCUUAUAUCACACUUUAAUUUUGACGCUUAUUUUUAUUCUUUAUUUAUAAUUAAAUUGUAAGCACAUAAAUACACAUAAUUCACAUAAUACUCAAAUAUUUCAUCUUUAUUACUUCAAAAAGAGUUACAAUAGUUGACCUAGACUAUUAAAUUGACAAAUAUGCUUAGCCCUGAAACCCGGGCGUUACAGUGACCAUCCCUGGCUCACGUCGUGAGAGUCAACUCAUCUUGGGUCGACACAGCGAGUCAACUCAGUUCACUCAUUUCAGGGUUUCAGAUCGAGGCAAAGCCAUUCUCACGUUGUGAGACCAUACUUCUCAAGUCAUGAGAACUGUUCUAUGAGCAUUAAGCUCUUAAUCCUUUUUGAUGCACGCUGGGACUUUCUAGGAUACCAUAUCUAGCCUAAAGGACCAUAAAAAUCAUAUCUUUUCAGUCAUGCAUGACUUAAACACUAGUUAGGUCAAAAGAUAGGUAUACACAUCAAGAUUCAAACUUGGAGUCCAAAAUUUGCACCAAAAUCCAGAUCCAAGGGUUCUACCACGGAAAAUAACUUAAUGGUCCAUAAAGUUGCUAACUUUAUGGACCUCAUGCAUGAUAAUUCAAUAUCCCAUGCAAAGAAGGUAACCAUACCCUAGAUCUAGCAAGGUUAUAAGAGAAAGGUGGGAUCUUUGAGACUUACAGAGGCUUAUGAUCUCAUAAAUCCCACUAGAAGGAGCUUAACGCGUCUAAAGGAACCUCCAUAAGAGCUUCUUCUUCUUCUUCAAGGAAAUCAACCACUAUAACACACCAAUACCACCAAUAAUGGCUUCAAGGGUUCAAGAAGGCCGAAUUUAGGGUUUUUCAGUGACUUGGGAGUGAAAGAGGCUGAGGAUGGACGACCCUAGCCUCCUAAUUCUGUUUUAUACCCGAUUUUUAGGGUUUAGGAUCAUCAGGCAUGACUCACGCCGUGAGGUCUUAUGCCUCACGUCGUGAGGUCUGAGAACACGGGUCAAACAGUCAAGGGUCCUACUCAUGACAUGACCACUAUGGCUCACGUCGUGAGCCUCUUCCAAUUGCAAUUAAAUUAAAUUAAUAUUUUUAAUACCUCAGAAUUCGGAUGUUACAUGGACACUUAUAGAUUGUGUGACAUCAAUGUGGGAUACAUUAACAUCCUUCAUCUUCCCUUAGUUCUCCUCCAUUACCACACUAUCGCCACCUCUUCACCCUUCAUCUAUUGUCCACCCUCUUUCGAUUCCUGAAAAACACUACACCAUGACGCCACCAUCAUUGCAUCACCUAGUCCCCUACACCAUGACUUCACCACCAUCAAGAAUAAUCGUGAUUUCAGAUACUUGAAUUUGCUAAUUUAAUGAUGGACGAAACCCUAUAUCUAUGAUUCAUGAAUAAUCUUUUGAAGCUUUUAUCACCAUUUAACCAAUUAAAAUUGAUAUUUCAUUUGAUGUUGUAUGUUAAUGAGAUUGAAUAUGAUUUUUUAGGUUUCUAGUUUGUAUAUUUUGUUUUUUCUCAAAUUUGUUUAUUACUGCAUUGAUUUUAAUUUUGUGGUGAUGUACGAUAGAGGAAAUGGCAUCGGUGAACGGUGGUAGGGUUGGGCGGAUAGUCGGAAUCGGACCGAAUCGACCCAAAUCUAAAUAACCCCAAAACCGAAUAGGGUUGAUUAGAGGAACCAAAACCCAUACUGUUUAACCUAAUACAGAUUUGGUUUGUUCCAGGUAUUAAUCAGUCUGGGUCAAUUGUUACCCGAAUAACUCGAAUAACACUCACAAUAUGAUUAACAGCUUAAUAUAACUGAAAAGAACCAAAUAAAUCGUAUUAUGAUUCCAUAACCUGAAUAACAAUUACAAUAUGAUUAUAAACACUGUUUUUUAUUACUUUUGUAGCUUAUGCUUUCAUAACAGAACUUUUAUAGAAACAAAUUUGUUGAUUACAAAUUUAUUGUAAACACGAAUUAACUAUUCUUGAGAUAUAAGAAUGUAAAAUACAAACACUAAAAUCUUGAGAUAUAGUUAUGAAGCAAUAUAUUAAACUCGAAACAUUAAACCAAAAAAAUCCAUAUAUAAGUAUAUAAGUUAAACAUUAAACAUUCAACACUCAAAACUAAAAUAUGAAUCUUAAUUUUUUAACCAUAUCCUUUACCAAACACGAAUUAACUAUUUAGAAAUAUUGAUUGGUUGUUUUCUCUUUCUCUUCCAAAGCUUUCACGACCUCAUCGUCUUUAAAAAUAUCAUCAAUGUUGUCAACAAUUAAUGAAAGAGGAAUAAGGAGCGAUCGACUGAAUUUCGGUGUAGCUAGGUAAAUUAGUAUUAAAAAUAAAUGACUCUUCAAUUUUGGGUCGGGUAUUUAGAACUGAAUAAGCUCUUAUUUAGGUAACCCAAACCAAAAACCCCGAGAACCGAAUAAUCCUAAUAUAGAUAUCCGAAACCCAAACCGAAUUACUUCUUCGGGCCUAAUUCGGUUCGGUUCGAGUUUUUGGUUCAAACGCUCAUCCCUAGGUGUGUCCCUUAAUUCUUAAAAAUGGUUAACAAAAUUUUUAAAAAAAAAAAAAAAAAAAAAAAAAAAAAAAAAAAAGACAAGAUAACAAGAAAACAAAACAUGGAUAAAUUGGUCAUUUUACAUGUUAACAAAGGGUCGUUAAGGGUAAAAGUCAGAGAGUCUAAAGGCCAUAAGGACCAUUGAAAUCAUGAAGACCAUCCGUAACAAUUUUAAAAGGGAUAAUGACUUAAAAGGGUAAUAUAUUUUUCAAUUUUUACACAUUUUGUCACUGAGUUUUUUUUUCGUCCAUAUUUGCCCCUUCAACUUGUUUAACUGUACGCAUUUCAGUCCUUAUUACCGGCUACUUCAGGUAAACAGGAAUAAAUGACUUGGUAGGGUAAUAUAUUUUUCAUUUUGUACAUAUUUAGUCCUUAAUAUUUUUUAGCACGUGUAGUCUUUAGUAUUUUUUUGUUGCAAAAUAAGUUUUUGUUGUUUUUGUACACAUUCAGUACUUAUGAACGAUUUAUUUAGGUUUUUCUCACUGUAUCCUAUAUAGGAAAAUCAUUAAUGAGGUGUUCGAGGUUGUUCAUGCUUAUGGUCACUGCGACCUCGAUUGCUUGGUGCUUAGGUCUUGUGUUCUGAAUGUCGUAAAUUCUUCAUACGAUCUUAGAUUUUAAUGAACUUUAUAUCCACGUAUUUAUAUUUGAGUCUACUACAACUUUCGUUUAAAUUACUCCUGUUAAAAAAUAAUAUAUUUUUAUUUACGAUUUUAUUAAAAAAAAAACGUUCAUACAUACAUUAAUAAAGAACGCAUGUAUAUAAAAAUCAUAAGUAAAAAUAUACUACCUCCGUCCCAUAUUUAUUGUCCACUUUUGACUUUUAAAGUCUUUAUUCUUCAACUUUGACCUUAAAUAUUUUUGUCCUUGAUAUAUAAAACUUAAUGCAAAAUUUAUGAAUAGAUUUUAUUUUAAAUGUUUUUUCAUUGCUAUAAGUUUCAACAACUAAUACAUAACACAAAUAACAAUAUUUAAGGUUAAAGUUGACGAAUAAAGACUUAAAAAGUCAAAAGUGGACAAUUAUUAUGGGACGGAUGGAGUAUUACUUUUUAACGGGAGUAAUCUAAAAGAAAGUUGAAGUAGACUUAAAUACAAACACGUGGAUAUAAAGAUUGUUAAAAACUAAGAUUUUAAUGAAGAAGUUACUCCGUUCAAAACACAAGACCUAAACAAUCAAACAGCUUAGAUUACUCAUCAUUAAUGAUUGUCUCACGUAGAAUAUCAUAAUAAAACCUAAAGAAACCGGUUAUAAAAUAUUGAAUGUUUAAAAAACAACAAUUUAUUUUGCAACAAAAAAAAUAAUAAAGACUAAAUUUGAAAAGAAAUAUUAAGGAUUAAAUUUGUAUAAAGUGAUAAAUAUAUUUCUUUAAGUCAUUCAGACAUAAAAACACAAGACGAAAAAAUCAAUCACCAAAUAAAAAUAAAUAAAUAUAUAAUUUAUUAUGCAUUUUAAUAUUUAGAACCAAAAUACGAGUGCCAACCACAUGACCAAACUGUAAUUUACUAAAAAAAACCCAAAAACAUGUAAACGAGGCAUGUAUUUUUUUUUUUUUUUCAUUAAAGCAUAAGAGUGGGCCCAUGCAAAAGGUGGCGGCGCUUCCCAUUGAUUCUCCUGUAUACCAAUUGACUCUCCUACAUACAAAAUUACAAAGCUUCCAACAAACUCCCCAGUUUCAGAGAUGAUCGGAGAAGGGAAGGUGGUCUGUGUCACAGGUGCAUCGGGAUUCAUAGCUUCAUGGCUCGUCAAGUUCUUGCUUCAACGUGGCUACACUGUUCAUGCUACUGUCCGAUCCCUCGGUUAGCCUCUCCUUCUCUCUAAUUUUGACUUUUAAUCUGCUAUCAUUUCAAAACAUUCGGAACCUACAUUUCUACCUUUUUAAGGAUCAGAUUCGUUGUUUAUGCUAUUUUCUGCUUUCGAAUCCAAUCCAAGUACUAGCUAUAGUGAAUAAUUAAUCAGAAUCAGAUUAUUGAUCUGCGACCAAAAUUGACCCGUCUCUUAUCCCUAAUAUUGUUUAAGAGGCAUUCAGAUCGUUGAUUUGAAUUCUAAGUACUAAGUUUUAUAAUCAAUCCGACUUUGCGUCAACUUGUUGACCUUUUUCAUUCUUCAGAUUUGUUUAUGUUUGAUAUCUUCUGAUAGCAUUAGCUACUGUUCCAUUGAAAUAUGGUGCAGAUGAUCCUAAAAAGACACAACACCUACUUGAUUUUGAUGGAGCCAAGGAAAGGCUUUCAUUGUUUGAAGCUAGCUUGCUUGAAGAAGGAUCUUUCGAUUCUGCUGUUAAGGGUUGCCAUUGUGUCUUUCAUACAGCGUCUCCUAUUAUGUUUCCAGUUUCUGGCCAACAGGUUGUUUUUCCUUCUUUUUCUCUCAAUUAACUUUCCCAUAUGUUAUCAACACACAAUUCCUGAUUGUUUUUUUUUCUUAAUUUCUAUUAGGCACAAGUGCUAGAUCCUGCCUUGAAGGGGACACUUAAUGUUCUUAAAUCAGCUGCAAAAGUUCCAUCUCUCAAAAGAGUGGUCUUAACAUCUUCCAUAGCUGCAGUUGUGUGCGGUGUAAAACCUCUCGAGUCUGGUGUUUUGGUGGAUGAAACCUGGUUUUCAGAUCCGGAAACCUGUGAACAACAAGAGGUAUAUAUAUAUAAAAUUGUUUUUUAAACUUUAACUUCUUUAUUAAUCAAAUACUAUUUUGUAUUUUACAGUUAUGGUAUCCCCUUGCAAAGACCCUGGCUGAGAAUGCUGCAGUAGAAUUUUCUAAAAAUAACAGUCUCGAGUUGGUGGUUAUAAAUCCCGGGUUUGUCAUCGGCCCUAUUUUACAACCAACUCUCAACAUCUCUUCUGAGGGCUUUAUCGGUUUAAUUGAAACUGGUAAUUGUCUUCAACAACUAAUAUUCAUAUGUAUGAUUGAUCGAUUCAUAGUCUAAAUUUUUAUGUUGUGCAAGGUGUUGAAUGAUGUAUUAUGUUAUUAUGUAUAUGCAGGAAAGGAAAUAUUCCCAGAUGGAAUUUAUGCACUUGUUGAUGUGAGAAAUGUUGCUAACGCUCAUAUUUUAGCAUUUGAGAACCCCCAAGCAAAUGGAAGAUACUUAAUAGUUGCAGAUGUAUAUCACUCUUCAGAUAUCAUGAAGAUCAUAAACCAAAACUAUCCUGCUCUUGUCUCUUCUGAAAGGUAGGGGUGUUUUUAACAUUAUAUGGACCCCAAAAAAUUCCAAAUCUGGAAUACUUAUUUUUUUAUUUAAAUUUUGACAGGUUUAAAGACAGCAAAUAUGUUGGGACACCACCUUUCGUUGCAUCAAGAACAAAGGCAGAAAGUUUAGGCGUUAAGUUUACUACAGUUGAGGAAAGCAUCAAGGACACUGUUGAAAGCCUAAAAGAGAAGAAGUUCUUAAGCUUCUAAAACACAAGAUGAUGUUCAUGGAUUUGUUGCAAUAAUCAUAUGAACAAUGUAUUGUAUUAUACUGUUUUCAACUCUGUUAUAAACGAAAUACAAUGAUCCUGUUACACAAAUUAUCAAAAAAAAACUGGACCACAUGGUUAUGAGUGUAUGACGUUUUAAAAUCUACAUUUUGAUAUACAUAUAGUUUUUUUUUCACUUUAUGACAACACUUUAACUCAUCCAUAACUUCAAAACUCUAUCUCUACCAACCGAUGCAACUUUCUCUUUCUCACCAUGAGGACUCCAAUCCACAGCAAAAACCUAAAAACAUAUGGAAAAGAAAAAUACUACUUUCUUAUUUGAGUUUUUGGAUUAUUAUCUUUUUUCCUGAUGCAUCUUCCAUUUAUCUUUGAAGUAAAACAAAACAAAAAAAGGAAAUAAAAACAAACCUCAUCUGCAUGACCUGGAAGAUCUUGCUUCAAUUUCUUUCCCUCACAUCCCAAACGUAAAAAACAUAUGUAAAACAUCAUAACUAUUUAUCAUGUAAAAGAAGAAAAUGAAAAAGAAAACACUUGAUUUUGCCUUGAGGGUAGUCCUUGCUACUGGAAACUAACAAAAGAGAAGUAAGGUUUUUAUAUUGACAUAAUCAGUGUUACAAAAAAGAAAGCUAGAGAAAACAAUAUAAAUAAAGAGAAAAAUGGACUAAGGUUUGCUAAAGGGCUAAACAAGGUCCAAACACAAAAUGAACCCAAACAAUCUAUUAGGCUAAUAGCUACCACUCAAAAGAAGUCUACUUUCAGCAGCAGACCAAUUGCACCAAAUCCGUACAAUGUGUGAGAAGCUAAACGAAGAUAAUAUUGUCAAAUUCAUAUAGUAUAAGUUGAAUAAAAUUUAAACCUUAUUUGUUAAACACAAGAUCUUCGUGUAGUGGCGAGACUAUGCACAUUGGUGGGUCCCUCACCCACCUAUUUUUUUUAUAUAUAAUUCGUGUAGUGGCGAGGCUAUGCACAUCGGUGGGUCCCCUCACCCACCUAUUUUUUUAUAAAACCAUGUAGUUUAAUAUUCUAGACCGCCACUGCCCACGUGACCUUUCGUUUGAUACCAUCUAAGAUAUAUGUGUAGUCCAAAAUUGUCUCUAUAAAAAAAAUCAUUAUGAAGAGAAUGGAGACUUCAUCAUAUAUAGAUACUUAUAAGAUAGUGUGGCACCAAUGUGGGAUACUCAAACAGUAACAUCCUUCAUCUUCACUUCUUUCUCCUCCAUUACCAUACUGUCGACGCCUCUUCGCCCUUCAUCUAUGUUGUCCACCCUCUCCUGAUUCUUGAAAAACACUACACCACGCCACCAUGAUCGCUUCACCUAGUCUCGUACACCAUGACACCACCAUCAUCCCACUCCUGCCACCCCAUCAAGAAUAAUUGUGAUUCUAGAUAACUGUAUUUGCUAAAUUAAUGAUCGACAAAACCCUAGAAUUUAGGAUUCAUGAAUAAUCUUUUAAUUUGAAGCUUAUGUCACCAUUUAACCGAUUGAAAUUGUUGUUUCUUUUGAUGUUGUAGGUUAAUGAUUUUGAAUAUGAUUUUUUAGGUUUCUAGUUUUGAACGUAUGUUUUGUUGUCUUAAAUAUGUUUUAUUAUUGCUUUGAUUUUAAUUUUGUGGCGGUAUACAAUGGAGGAAGUGGCGCCGUUGAAUGGUGGCGGGGUUGAGCGACGAAUCACGGUGGGUAGUGUAUCCCUUAAUUCUUAAAAAUUGUUAAUAAAAUUUAAAAAGCACAAGACAUAAAGAUAAAACAUGGAUAAAUUUGUCAUUUUAUAUGUUAACGGAGGACCAUUAACAGUAAAAGUCAGAGCCUAUAAGGACCAUUGAAACCACGAGGACGAUCAUAACAAUUUUAAAAUUUAGAACAAACUUGCAGAUGAAGCAUCCACCAUGGUGAGUUCAAUGAGAGAGUUGAAUUAGGUGUUAAGUUUAGUUGUCAUUCAAUAGAUGAAACUCUACCAUAGUGAGAUGUCACAUUGGCAUUCAAUGAAUUUGAAGUUCAAUGACCAUUGAACUUUUCAAUGGGAAAAAUGAAAGUUUUUUAACGUUAAAUACAUGCUAUAAAUUAGCUUUUGUAACUUUCUAUUGAACUUUGUAGAGUUGAAUGCAUUGUAGGAAAAAAUUGAUUGAGUUGUAUGGAAUAUAGAAAAAUGAUGUGGCAAUCCAUUGCACUCUAUAAAAUUCAAUGCAUUAUGAAAAGUGCGAACCACACAACUAAACUGCCAUUUACUAAAAAAACCACCAAAAACAUGUCAAAUGAGGCAUGUAUUUUUUUUCCUUUUUUGUUUUUUUCAUUAAGGCCCAUGCUAAAGGUGGCGGCACUUUCCAUUGAUUCUCCUAUAUAUACCAAUUGAUUCUCCAAUAUACAAAAUUACAAAGUGUCCCUCUCUUCGUAGUCCAACAAACUCCCCGGUUUCAGAGAGAUGAUCGGAGAAGGUAAGGUAGUCUGUGUUACAGGAGCUUCGGGAUUCAUAGCUUCAUGGCUCGUCAAGCUCUUGCUUCAGCGUGGCUACACUGUUCAUGCUACUGUCCGAUCCCUUGGUUAGCUUCUCCUGCUCAACUAAUUUUGACUUUUAAUCUGCUAUCAUUUCAAAACCUUAGGAACCUACAUUUCUACCUUCUGUACGGAUGAAAAAUUCGUUGUUUAUGCUAUUUUCUGCAUUCGAAUCCAAUCCAACUACUGGCUUUAUUGAAUAAUUAAUUAGAAUCAGAUUGUUAUUGCGUGACCAAAAUUGACCCAUCUCUUAUCCCUGUUAGUGUUUAAGAGGUAUUCAGAUUGUUGAUUUGAGGUCUACGUAGUGAGUUUUGUAAUCAAUAUUCCGACCGACUUUGCAUCAACUGGUUGACCUUUUUCAUUCUUGACAUUUGUUUAUGUUUGAUUUGUUCUGAUUCCAUUGAAAUGUGGUGCAGAUGAUCCUAAAAAGACAAAACACCUACUGGAUUUUGAUGGAGCUAUGGAAAGGCUUUCUUUGUUUGAAGCUAGCUUGCUUGAAGAAGGAUCUUUCGAAUCUGCUGUUAAUGGUUGUCAAUGUGUCUUCCAUACAGCAUCACCUAUUAUGUUUCCAGUUUCUGGCCAACAGGUUGCUUUUCCUUCUUUUGCUCUCAAUUAACUUUCCCAUAUCUUAUCAACACAAAUAUGAUACAAUUCCUGAAUUGUUUCUUUUUUUCUUAAUUUCUAUUAGGCACAAUUGCUAGAACCUGCAGUGAAGGGGACACUUAAUGUCCUUAAAUCAUCUGCAAAAGUUCCAUCUCUCAAAAGAGUGGUCUUGACAUCUUCCAUAGCUGCAGUUCUAUUUGGUGCAAAACCUCCUGAGUUUGGUGCUGUGGCGGAUGAAACCUGGUUUUCAGAUCCUGAAACUUGUGAACAAAGAGAGGCAUAAUUGUUUUAAACCUUUAUUAUGUAGUUAGGGUCUCAUUUCUUUAUUAAUCAAAUACUAUUUUUGUAUUUUACAGUUA